AGGCUCCUACGGGGGGCAGCAGUGAGGAAUAUUGGUCAAUGGUCGGGAGACUGAACCAGCCAAGCCGCGUGAGGGAUGAAGGUACAGAGUAUCGUAAACCUCUUUUGUCAGGGAACAAAGGCGGGGACGUGUCCCCGGAUGAGUGUACCUGAAGAAAAAGCAUCGGCUAACUCCGUGCCAGCAGCCGCGGUAAUACGGAGGAUGCGAGCGUUAUCCGGAUUUAUUGGGUUUAAAGGGUGCGCAGGCGGUCUGUUAAGUCAGCGGUAAAAUCGCGGGG
rnacentral:rRNA from 1 species